CAGCAGCCGCGGUAAUACGAAGGUCCCGAGCGUUGUUCGGAAUCACUGGGCGUAAAGGGAGCGUAGGCGGCGUGGUAAGUCAGAUGUGAAAUCCCGGGGCUCAACCCCGGAACUGCAUCCGAUACUGCCAUGCUAGAGGAUUGGAGGGGUAGCUGGAAUUCUUGGUGUAGCAGUGAAAUGCGUGGAGAUCAAGAGGAACACUCGUGGCGAAAGCGAGCUACUGGACAAUAACUGACGCUGAGGCUCGAAGGCCAGGGUAGCGAAAGGGAUUAGAUACCCCCGUAGUCCCUGUCUCUUAUAC
rnacentral:rRNA from 1 species